UGCGUAGGGGGCUAGCGUUAUCCGGAAUUACUGGGCGUAAAGGGUGCGUAGGUGGUUUCUUAAGUCAGAGGUGAAAGGCUACGGCUCAACCGUAGUAAGCCUUUGAAACUGGGAAACUUGAGUGCAGGAGAGGAGAGUGGAAUUCCUAGUGUAGCGGUGAAAUGCGUAGAUAUUAGGAGGAACACCAGUUGCGAAGGCGGCUCUCUGGACUGUAACUGACACUGAGGCACGAAAGCGUGGGGAGCAAACAGG
rnacentral:rRNA from 1 species